rnacentral:rRNA from 1 species
UACGUAGGCAGCAAGCGUUGUUCGGAAUUACUGGGCGUAAAGAGUGUGUAGGCGGUGUCGUAAGUUUGGUGUGAAAUCUCCCGGCUUAACCGGGAGGGUGCGCCGAAGACUGCGAUGCUGGAGUAUGGGAGAGGAAAGCGGAAUUCCUGGUGUAGCGGUGAAAUGCGUAGAUAUCAGGAGGAACACCUGCGGUGUAGACGGCUUUCUGGACCAUGACUGACGCUGAGACACGAAAGCGUGGGUAGCAAACAGGAUUAGAUACCCUGGUAGUCCACGCCCUAAACGAUGCAUACUUGGUGUGAGCCAUUCAGUUGGUUCGUGCCGGAGCUAACGCGUUAAGUAUGCCGCCUGGGGAGUACGGUCGCAAGGCUGAA